UACGUAGGGCGCAAGCGUUGUCCGGAUUCAUUGGGUUUAAAGGGUGCGUAGGCGGCCUAUUAAGUCAGUGGUUAAAUACGGCGGCUCAACCGUCGAGAUGCCAUUGAUACUGAUAGGCUUGAGAGACGAGAGGGUGAGUGGAAUUUGCGGUGUAGCGGUGAAAUGCUUAGAUACCGCAAGGAACGUCGAAGGCGAAGGCAGCUCACUAUACGUCAUCUGACGCUGAGGCGCGAAAGCGUCGGGAUCGAACAGG
rnacentral:rRNA from 1 species